UAUGUGAUCGUCUCUCGCAUAUCAAUAAGCGGAGGAAAAGAAACUAACAAGGAUUCCCUUAGUAACGGCGAGUGAAGCGGGAAGAGCUCAAAUUUGAAAUCUUCAAGGUUUUACCUUGACGAAUUGUAGUUUAAAGAAGUGUUUUCUGUUGAAGUUUUGGUAAAAGUUCUUUGGAAUAGGACAUCAUAGAGGGUGAGAAUCCCGUAUUUGACCAUUAUCUUCAGCUGUGUGAUACACUUUCAAAGGGUCGGAUUGUUUGGGAAUGCAGUCCAAAAUGGGUGGUAAAUUUCAUCUAAAGCUAAAUAUUGGCGAGAGACCGAUAGCGAACAAGUACCGUGAGGGAAAGAUGAAAAGAACUUUGAAAAGAGAGUUAAACAGUACGUGAAAUUGUCAAAAGGGAAGCGUUUGACACCAGUGUUGUUUUCUCGAAAAUCAAUUAAAAAGAGUUAGAUUUUGUUGUGUAUUGACCUUAACAGCUUGCAUUUCAAUUUUCUUGCUUUUUUUAAUGCACUUUUCGUUUAACAAGUCAACAUCAGUUUCUUUUGUUGUAAAAAGGUCAUUGGAAGGUGGCUUUCUUUUCGGAGAAAGUGUUUAUAGCCUUUGACUCCUGCAAUCGGAGAGACUGAGGUCUGCAGCGUAGAUCCUUCGGGGUUAGAUACAUUUGUGCUAAGUUAUAGCUUUUUAUAGACAACUUGUUGACUAUGAUUAGUCUUGUAGCUUACUCGCUUAUGCUAUUUUACCUACGCUUAGGAUGUUGAAGAUGUAGCACAUCAU
rnacentral:rRNA from 1 species